rnacentral:rRNA from 1 species
AUUGAACGCUGGCGGCAUGCUUUACACAUGCAAGUCGAACGGCAGCGCGGGCUUCGGCCUGGCGGCGAGUGGCGAACGGGUGAGUAAUACAUCGGAACGUGCCCGGUAGUGGGGGAUAGCUCGGCGAAAGCCGGAUUAAUACCGCAUACGACCUGAGGGUGAAAGCGGGGGAUCUUCGGACCUCGCGCUAUCGGAGGGGCCGAUGGCGGAUUAGCUAGUUGGUGGGGUAAAGGCCUACCAAGGCGACGAUCGGUAGCUGGUCUGAGAGGAAGACCAGCCACACGGGGACUGAGACACGGCCCAGACUCCUACGGGAGGCAGCAGUGGGGAAUUUUGGACAAUGGGCGAAAGCCUGAUCCAGCAAUGCCGCGUGUGUGAUGAAGGCCUUCGGGUUGUAAAGCACUUUUGGCGGGAACGAAAAGGACUGUGCCAAUACCACGGUUCGAUGACGGUACCCGCAGAAUAAGCACCGGCUAACUACGUG